rnacentral:rRNA from 1 species
UACAGAGGGGGCAAGCGUUAUUCGGAAUUAUUGGGCGUAAAGGGCGCGUAGGCGGCUUGGCAAGUGGAAGGUGAAAUCCCUCGGCUUAACCGAGGAACUGCCCUCCAAACUGCUUUGCUUGAGGCCGGGAGAGGCGAGUGGAAUUCCCAGUGUAGCGGUGAAAUUCGUAGAUAUUCGGAAGAACACCAGUGGCGAAGGCGGCU